GGAUUUUUUUCUUCAGCCAAGGAAAGCUACGAGAUUCCACACUUUCAUCUGAAUUUUUACUUCAGAAAGGUAAAUUUGCUAAUUUAAUUCCAAAGUUUACUCUUGUAAAGUCUGUUUGUUCAACUUUAAGAGUGCACUGAGAGAGAAUGAGCAGCACACUUCACCGUCUUGUGUGUGCAUUUUGUAAUUUUAUUACCACAAAUAUAUAUUUCUGCAUGAUUUCGAUAUAUUUUCUAGUUUGGCAACAUUUUAUAACGUCAUUAGUUUAGAGAAGGAUAAUAAUUUAAUAAUAAUAGUAAUUGGCCGUGUCUCAAUGCUUGUUUCAGAAUAUUAACAAUUAUAAAGUUGACUGUUAUUCUUAGUUAAUAGUAAAUUGUUUAAUAUGCUUAUGACUUGCGAAUCUAAUGGUCAGUUAACUUAAAUAAACCAGGGUUGAUGACGUAUGCGAGUGCGACCUCCGCAGGCUGAAACCAGUCUCUCGAGCUGAAAGAAAACGCAGCUGAGGAGAUAUGAGGAAACUUCCACCUACAGUAAGCAGAUGCUGAGGCCCAGAUUUCCAUGCUAAGCACUCCAAGGCUCAUCAUGCUCGGAGAGUCCAAUCUGAGGGCAAAAAAUUGAUGCUUUCCAUCGAGUGCAGAGUUCUCCUCCAAUUGAGUGACGGUUGUGAUUUCACUUCUGCUCUAGCCUUUUUGCGUCAUACUAUGUAUGAGGCAGCCACUACAUUGGAAUUUAUCCAGAGGGUAGAGUCCAGCCCAGGAAGUCAACUAGUUCAUGUCCAGAUUUAAAAGAUUUCUGAAAAAAAGGUCUUGGAGAAAAACAAUAUUCAGGUUUGAAAUCCUGCUGUAAAUGUAAAUCAUUUAACUUUUACGCAUUUGUAAUUUACCAGAAACUUUUUAAUAAAUAUUGAUUGUUUUGUGUGUUCAGAAAAAAAGUGUUUUUGUAUGUUCAGAAAAGUGUUGAAAUUAAAUGAAACAUUCACAGAAAAAUGUUAACAUAUUUAAAAAAAUGUAUAUGUUCAGAAAAGUUUUGAGAUGUUCACAGAAAAAAUGUAACACAAAAAAUGUAUGCUAUGCUAUUUUUAAUUUAUGAAUUUUUGUAAUUUAAAGUGAUAAAAUAAAUGGCAUUUUUGUGACAAA